GAAUUGCAUAAUGUAAAGAAUUGCAUUGUCUACAAAUGUCCAAAACUCUCUUUGACUUCAACAACUACAUUUGAGAAGCUCCUUGAAGAUUUUCCUUCUGAAGAUUUCGUAAACACUGAAGUUCCUAGUUGGGAAUUUGAAGCCAUAGUAAGAUUCAUAUACGACUAUUCAACUAUUAAUGAUAGCAGUGAGUUCACUUCAUCACAGAAGAUUGAGGACGUAGGUAAAUCCACUGGAGUUGAAGACAUUGGCAUUGGAGGUGCUGUUGCAACUCACAUUGCCAAGGUAGUUGAACAAGAUGAUAAGAUGAAUGAAGGCAAGCCAGGAAUAGUCGCAAGCCAAGGAAUCCAAGUACAAGAAGGGUUGAACCUUUUGCAUAAACAAGAGGGAAUAUAUGUUGCUCCUAACAACAACAAUGACAUUUCUUCAGCUUCUGCAGAUAUCCGUACAAGAUUGGGAGCAUAUAAACAUUUUGUUGAUCUGGAUGAUGCACAGAUUUCUCUUCUGGUGGAGGCAAUAACAACAUAUCCUCAUCUCUGGAAUGCUUCCAAGAAGUUUAGUGAGCGCUUUCAAGCUUGGAGGUUGAAAAUUUUGGCAGAUAUGUUGCUGUUCCUUCAGAAGGAAAGUGACGAUAGUGUUAUUCCUCAAAGAGAAAAAG
rnacentral:sRNA from 1 species